rnacentral:hammerhead_ribozyme from 1 species
AUCCAGUUGACGAGUCCCACACAGGACGAAAUGCGCAUCCUGGAU